GCUUAACCAAAAUUCAACCCAUUAGUUUUCUUGAGACCAAAACACUUGAAGCCCAACUUCUUUCCUUUGUUGUUGACUUUUCUUUCUUCUCGGUCGUUGACUCUCUUCUUCUUCUUCGACAUCCUUCGAUCACGAGCCUUUGCUUCUUCUUCUUCUUGUUCUCAUCAAGGAUGUCAACUUCAACAGUCCGCCUUUCUCCCUCUCAUCAUUAGCCGCCGUCUACAAAGUGUUGCGGUGGAGAUCAUGUGAAAUUAGGGUUCGACUGUAGAAGUAGUCACAGGAUAUCGAAUGCACAAGAGAGAAUGGCGAUCAAUCUAAGAAACGUGACGAUCGAUCUUCUUCUCAAGGAAGAAGGCCAGUUUCGCAGAGAGUGGCUCUACCUCUACAUGGAUCAUCGGCUUCACGAGAUUGGCGAUCGAAAAUUGGCAAAGUUUGUUAGACGAGUAUUUAUAAGGAAAGGUACUUGAGAAGAAGAAAAAAGGAAAUCCUCGCUUUUAAUCAAAAAAAAGGAAAUUGAUCACAACGGUCAAUUAGUGAUCACAACGGUCAUUAGUGAUGAUGGCAACGUAUAUUUGAUUUGACCAUAACAAUAGAAUCUGAAUGGAUAUAAUUUAGUAUUGAAAGUCUUUUCUUUCCAUUGUUUCUAUUGACAAAUAAUCUCAAUCCCCUUUUUGGCUUAGCCUUACUUACUCAUGUAUACAGA
rnacentral:sRNA from 1 species